AACACAAAUAUAAAAGGUGUGAAGACUGCAGUAAGUGACUAAUCACCGCCUCUCACCCCACCCCCACCUUGUAUCCAGCACGAGAGAGCCCAGGAAUUGGGACCGAAGAGUGAAGGGAAAAUACAUCUCAUGGCAACUAUUGGAUGGAUUUUGCUUGGGCAGAUCUUACUGUCCCUCUGUGAGAUAUUAGCAUAGUAUGAAUUGUGUGGUACGGGAAAAUCAAGCGCUAUUCAUACCUGGCUGGAGUUAAAUGAAAAUAUCAAAGGUUCGAUGGGAAGGAAAAAGAAAGGAGGUGCUAGGUGUGUUAUCCCACUUCAUUUUCAUCACACUAAGAUCUUUCUGUAAUGUUUGAAGGCAAAACAGAUAAUCAGAAAACCAGCCUCCCAAGUACAAAGAUCUGAGCUGGACUCCCAGGACUACAGACUGCUUCAGUUCUAUUUCUA